rnacentral:rRNA from 1 species
UAGCUUGACACUGAACAUUGAGCCUUGAUGUGUAGGAUAGGUGGGAGGCUUAGAAGUGUGGACGCCAGUCUGCAUGGAGCCGACCUUGAAAUACCACCCUUUAAUGUUUGAUGUUCUAACGUUGACCCGUGAUCCGGGUUGCGGACAGUGUCUGGUGGGUAGUUUGACUGGGGCGGUCUCCUCCUAAAGAGUAACGGAGGAGCACGAAGGUUGGCUAAUCCUGGUCGGACAUCAGGAGGUUAGUGCAAUGGCAUAAGCCAGCUUGACUGCGAGCGUGACGGCGCGAGCAGGUGCGAAAGCAGGUCAUAGUGAUCCGGUGGUUCUGAAUGGAAGGGCCAUCGCUCAACGGAUAAAAGGUACUCCGGGGAUAACAGGCUGAUACCGCCCAAGAGUUCAUAUCGACGGCGGUGUUUGGCACCUCGAUGUCGGCUCAUCACAUCCUGGGGCUGAAGUAGGUCCCAAGGGUAUGGCUGUUCGCCAUUUAAAGUGGUACGCGAGCUGGGUUUAGAACGUCGUGAGACAGUUCGGUCCCUAUCUGCCGUGGGCGCUGGAGAACUGAGGGGGGCUGCUCCUAGUACGAGAGGACCGGAGUGG